GACUGAAGACAUGGGGAAGACAAGAAAUAAAUAACCAAAGUGAGAUUCUUGAAAAGGAAGCAAAGACAGAAAUCAGAAGCUGGUUAGAAGAAAUCAACCUGAGAAGCAAGAGAAGAACACUAUACAUUGUACUAAAGAAUAGAGGAAUGAAUGUGUUGGUGUGGAGAAUUAUCAUUCUACAGGUGUACAUGCAGGGCAGCAGUUCCUCUCCUGGGUUCUAUGAAUCUGGGUGGGAAAAAUUCAUCCUUGUUCUCCUAAUGUAUCUCUAACUGAAAUUUACCAGUUCUUUUCAUUAUGAAAUAGACAUAAAGAUACUACAGCAUGACAGCAUUGUCUCUGACACUAUUGCCAAUUUAAAGCACAGAUAUUUUUGUAUCAUGCUAAAACUGUUGCAGACAAUAAGAUUCUGCUGAUGUCUUCUGCUUCAAAAUUGGUCAUGAUACCUGUAGGACCAUUUUAG
rnacentral:lncRNA from 1 species